CCUCAGCCCUGACCUCAUGCGGGCGGUGACGGCUUUGUGCAGUGUCAGCCGGGGCGCGUUGACGUUUCGCUUUUGUUCGAGUCCUCUGACUCUUAAACCAGUCGGAAAAAGGCUCUUCACUCGCCCCUCCGUGUGAUUUCUGCGUUUGUCUAAAUUUCAGCUACUUUAAAACCAUCUCAGAAAGCUGAGGGCUCUGAUUCCUUCCCGCUGCUUUAGGGAAUGGAAGGACAGAGCUCCUCUGUGGGUCUGCAUCCUGGCAGCAGGUUGGAGCUUCAUGAGCUUUGUCUCUCCCUAACCCUUCAGCCUCCUCAUAGACACAUGUUUGCUCAUUCGUCUCACUGGGAACUGUAGUAAAACCUCUCUUAGAAGAAAGAUCGUGCCUCUUGUUGGUUUUAUAAUUAUUGCAUAUUGUUCUGACUGGUGCUUUGUCUAAGGCACCUUUCGGUAUUUCCUAUAUGUGAAAACAACCACAAAGAGCAAAUCUGGCAUUUUCCAUAAAGGCUACUAAGUGUAAUAACCGCAACUUUUGGGUUUGGCAGCUCUUUUCGAGUUAUAGCAAAUGGCCCCAGCUUUUCUGUAUAUGUUGUGGAGAGAGAAACAAAGGUUUCGAGGCGUGUGUUCAGAAUGGCCAGAUCUGGGGCCUGGGGACUGCUCACAGUGCCUGCAGCAGGACACCGAAGUGUUUGCUGGAGAUUCUAAGUAUCCACUGAGCCAUGUGGCUUCCUCUGGAAGUUACCCGGCUCCAGGAGGAAAUGUGUCACAGUAACACUGUGACCGGACUCUCCUGUGAGAAGAUCACGCAUAAGGGGCUACACGCAUACCUGACCUUCAGCAGAGAAAUUACGUCUCUUAGUAUUUUAAACCCGAGGAAGGGUCUUCUGUUAGGCGUUGGAUUUGGGCUGGAAAUCUCCCAGCAGCGCUCUCCAGUCAUUCUCUCUGGAAGGCCUGUCCCUCUGUUGGACUUGGAGGAAGGAGUUGUUCACAACAGACUUCCAGGAUUCCAUAUUUGGGAGUUGCUGUUUAACCAUGUUUGCCAGUCUGGAAUUACCUGAAGUCCUGUUGCACACCCCAAAAUACUGAAGUUGUGAAAUUUGUUUUGAUCAACUGGAGUACUUCUCAAGUCACGUGCAGUGUGAUUCUGCCAGGAACCCCCUCCUGUUUGUCCUCGUGGAGGAACAGCUUGGACAUUGCCAUGGCCACCAUUGUCAGCCUCACACAGUUGGUCUCACAAAGCCCAGCACUGGCUCACCAGCAUCACCUAGACGUCUGACAGGCUCUCAUUGUUGGAAACAAUGGUUUUGGAUGAUCUACCUAACUUAAAAGACACAUAUGCCUCCUUGUACUUCUCAGCUAUGGAAGACUUAGAGGUGGAUUUUGAUUCAGGACUGGAGGAAGAUGAACUGAAACAGGAGGCUGCUCCUGGGGAUUCCACUAUCUUUGUAGCUUUUAAAGGAAAUAUAAGUGACAGAGACUUUGAGCAGAAGCUGGAUACCAUACUGGAGAAUGUGCCUAGUCUUUUACACAUGGAAUCCAACAAGCUGAAAGUGCAGAAGAUAGAGCCUUGGAACAGCGUUCGUGUCACCUUCAACAUCCCCCGGGAAGCGGCCGAGCGGCUGCGAAUCCUGGCUCAGAACAACAACCAGCAGCUCCGAGACCUGGGCAUUCUCUCCGUUCAGAUUGAAGGGGAAGGUGCUAUCAACUUGGCUUUAGCCCAGAGCAGGAGCCAGGAUGUGCGGAUCAACGGGCCCCUGGGAGCCAGCACCGCCAUGCGCAUGGAUCCGGGAUUCCCCAUGCAGGGGGGACAAGGUAACUCCCCUCGGGGAUUCCCCAUGCAGGGGGGACAAGGUUUAAUAAGAAUGAGCAAUGCUGCAGCUGUUAUGAUGUCCCAGGGUGGAAAUGUGCCCUCCUCUAUGGUGGCAAGUGGUGCUAGUGCUGAGCUGCAGCCACGAACACCUCGGCCUUCCUCACAGCCAGAUGCAAUGGACCCACUCUUAUCUGGGCUAAAUAUACAGCAACAAAAUCAUCCAUCUGGAUCUUUAGCUCCCCAGCUGCAUUCAAUGCAGUCAGUUCCUGUAAACAGGCAGAUGAACUCAGCCAACUUUCAGCAGCUACAGCAGCAGCAGCAGUUGCAGAAUCGGCCUCCCCAGCCACAUCAGCAGCCACAGCAGGGUAUCCGACCUUCAUUCACUUCACCAGCACAGGUUCCAGUUCCCCCUGGCUGGAACCAGCUUCCUUCUGGAGCACUUCAGCCUCCUCCAACCCAGGGAGCACUGGGUACUUUGACAGUAAACCAGGGUUGGAAAAAGGCCCCGUUGCCUGGACAAAUGCAGCAGCAGCUUCAAGCAAGACCAUCUCUAGCAACAGUACAAACUCCUACUCAUCCUCCACCUCCAUAUCCUUUUGGAAGCCAGCAAGCUUCCCAGGCUCACUCAAACUUUCCCCAGAUGAGCAAUCCUGGCCAGUUUACUGCUCCUCAAAUGAAAAGCCUUCAGGGAGGGCCCUCACGGGUUCCUACACCACUACAACAGCCCCACCUGACCAACAAGUCUCCUGCUUCUUCUCCCUCCUCCUUCCAGCAGGGCUCUCCUGCCUCAUCUCCAACCGUUAACCAGACGCAGCAGCAGCUGGGACCAAGGCCUCCCCAGAGUAGCACUCUUCCCCAGGGAUUCCAGCAGCCUGUCAGUUCUCCUAGUCGUAAUCCUAUGGUGCAACAGGGGAAUUUACCCCCCAACUUCAUGGUGAUGCAGCAGCAAAACCAAGGUCCACAAGGUUUACACCCUGGUUUAGGAGGAAUGCCCAAGCGGCUCCCCCCGGGGUUCCCUGCAGGCCAGGCUAACCAGAACUUCCUGCAAGGUCAGGUGCCCUCCACAGCUCCAGGAACAGCAGGCACCAGUGGAGCACCACAGCUGCAAAACAGCCAGAACGUGCAGCACACAGGUGGCCAAGGAUCUGGACCUCCACAAACUCAGCUGCAAGCAGCACAUGGCCCACCAAAUAUGAUGCAGACCAAUCUAAUGGGACUUCAUGGAAACAUGAACAACCAGCAGGCUGGUGCUAGUGGGGUGCCACAGGUUAACAUGGGCAACAUGCAGGGACAACCUCAGCAAGGACCACAGUCCCAGCUUAUGGGGAUGCAUCAGCAAAUCGUGUCCUCUCAAGGACAGAUGGUGAACAUUCAGGCUCAGGGAUCGCUGAACCCUCAAAACCAGAUGAUCCUUUCUCGAACUCAGCUCAUGCCUCAAGGCCAAAUGAUGGUGACACCUCAGAACCAAAAUCUUGGUCCCUCUCCCCAGAGGAUGACCCCACCCAAACAGAUGAUUCCCCAGCAGGGACAGCAGAUGAUGUCCACACACAAUCAGAUGAUGGGACCUCAGGGCCAGGUCAUGCUACAGCAAAACUCAAUGAUGGAACAGAUGAUGACCACUCAGAUGCAAGGAAAUAAACAGCCUUUUAAUACUCAAAACCAGUCCAAUGUUAUGACGGGGCCAGCUCAACUGAUGAGAGGACCAACCCCAAACAUGCAAGGAAACAUGGUGCAGUUCACUGGGCAGAUGAUGGCACAGCAAGGCCCUGUGAAUGGGAAUCCUUCUCAGGUGAUGGGAAUUCAAGGGCAAGUUUUAAGACCCACUGGACCUGGUCCUCACAUCUCUCAGCAACUUGGGGAUACUGCGACCACAACAAACAACGAUGGGAACUUGACACAAAUGUUACCUGAGGUUCCUGUGCAGCAGCCAAACAUGGUGCCUUCUCAUAUGCAAGGAAUGCAAGGAAAUAACAAUGCUUCAGGGAGUCAUUUCUCUGGCCAUGGGCUGCCUUUCAAUACAGGGUUUAGUGGAACUCCCAAUGGGAAUCAGGUUUCCUGUGGGCAGAACCCUGUGUUUCCUGUCAAUAAAGAUGUGACGCUGACAAGUCCCCUCUUGGUUAACCUACUCCAGAGUGAUAUCUCAGCAGGGCACUUUGGUGUGAACAACAAACAGAAUAACCAGAAUGCCAACAAGCCAAAGAAGAAGAAGCCUCCAAGGAAGAAGAAAAAUAAUCAACAGCUAGAACAAACAACUUCUUCAGAAUCACGUCCAGCUGGCCUGGAGGAGAGUGAUCAGUCAUCGAUGUCUGGAGACCAAGGAAUGAAUUUAGAUAAGUCAGGCCCUAAACUCUCAGAUUUUGCAAGUAGACCACCAGGUUAUCCAUCUCAGCCGGUGGAGCAAAGGCCACUUCAGCAGAUGCCACCUCAGCUCAUGCCACACACGCAGCAGCCCCAGCCACAGCAGCAGCAGCAGCCCCAGGCAGCCCCACAGCAGGGCCAGGCACCCCCCCAGACACCACAGCAGCAGCAGAUGAUGAUGAUGCUGAUGAUGCAGCAGGAUCCCAAAUCAGUCAGGCUGCCUGUGCCCCAGGGGGUUCACCCCCCCAGGGGGCCCCUGAACCCGGAUGCUCAGCGGAUGCCAAUGCAGCAGAGUGGAAACAUGCCAGUGAUGGUGAACCUCCAGGGGCCUGGGCCCGUACCUCCAUCUCCUGACAAACAGAGGGUGGCCCUGCCAGGCAAUCCUCCUCUGGGAAAUAAUGCAAGAAAAAUGGUUUAUCCAGAUAAUGUACAGAAUCCUUCCAGCUCGCCCCUCAGAGAGGUGUCAUCAGUAUCCUCUCUUCCAGAAGGAGGUGGAGCUGAGGGGCCUCCAGCAUCAGGAGCUCAGAAUAGUGUGACAUCUCAUUUGGUAGUUUCACAGAACCAGUUAAUGAUGACAGGACCUAAGCCUGGACCAUCCCCACUUUCAGCUGCCCAAGGUGCAAGUCCCCAGCAGCAGUCUAGUUCUCUCUCUAGUGCUCUUACACACCAUUUUCCAAAUGUUGCUGCCCCAUCACAAACUUCAAGGCCUAAAACCCCAAACAGAGCUAGCCCAAGGCCAUAUUAUCCUCAGACUCCUAAUAACCGUCCACCCAGCACAGAACCCUCAGAAAUUAGCCUUUCUCCAGAGAGGCUCAAUGCUUCUAUUGCUGGUCUGUUCCCUCCCCAGAUCAAUAUUCCUUUACCUCCCAGGCCUAAUCUCAAUAGAGGAUUUGAUCAGCAGGGUCUGAAUCCCACUACUUUAAAGGCCAUUGGACAAGCCCCAUCAAAUCUCACAAUUAACAAUCAGUCCAGUUUUACUGCCUCACAGUCACACAAGCUGGAAGGUGUGGUCAUUAAUUCAGGCAAACAAACCAAUGCUGGUGGAACAAAGAGAGCAAGCCCAAGCAAUAGUCGAAGGUCCAGUCCUGGAUCCAGUAGGAAAACUACACCAAGCCCUGGCAGACAGAAUUCAAAAGCAGCUAAAUUAUCACUGACAACUCAGCAGAAUCCAUCUCUCUUGCAGAACAUGGAAUUACAGAGAAAUAUGAUGGCUGGUCCUUCUUCUUUGCCGACACCCGUGACCACAAGUUUUCAAACUAACUCCAUGCUAAGUAACCAGAGUCCUGCAGUUUCUGCACCUACUGUGACUGGCAUUCCUGAAGAUAGUAAGGAGAGCCUUAGUGCGCCUCAGGAUACAGAGAGUCAAAGUGCACAAGGUGUCCAAGGUAGCAAGGACCAGCCCAAUAUGGAACUGAAAGGUGUCCCUACUUCAGAAAUGAAAGUGCUGGUUCCUGAGGAACAGGCAAAAAAAGAUGGGCAAGCCUUAGAUAGCAGUAAGCUCCCGGUCAUGGAGGAAAGUAAAGCCGUGGUAUCUCCAGCUAUGAGGGAGGCACCAACUUCUCUAAGUCAGCUUCUUGACAAUUCUGGAGCUCCUAAUGUGACCAUUAAGCCCCCUGGUCUGACUGGUCUUGAAAUGGCACCAGUAGUCCCUGCUGGAGAGGAGCUAAAGAAGAUAGCUGUCAUUCCUCCACUGCAGGAUUCAUCCUUGAGCAAGGAGCCAUCUAAUUCACUUAGCCUGCCUCAAAAUAAUGAGCCCUGUCCAAAUCCAGGGCACCAGGAGCUGGGAGAAGUAAAUGCAAGUGUGGCACAGAGUGUUGCUCCAGUAGUGCAGAGGCCUGUUAGCUCUUCUAUUUCAGGUCCUUUACCCCCCAACCAGAUAACAGUUUUUGUGACUUCCAACCCUAUUACAUCUGCUGCUAAUACAUCAGCUCCACUGCCAUCCCACUUGCAAUCUGCAUUAGUGUCCACUGUUGUCACCAUGCCCAAUGUGGGGAGCAAAGUGAUGGUUUCAGAGGGACAGUCGGCAGCUCAGUCCAACGCCCGGCCGCAGUUCAUCACACCAGUGUUUAUAAACUCAUCCUCAAUCAUCCAGGUGAUGAAGGGCUCUCAGUCCAGCACGAUUCCAGCAGCCCCCAUAACUUCUAACUCGAGCCUGAUGCCUCAGUCGGUUGCAGUUGUUGGUCCUUUGCAUAUCCCACAGAAUAUCAAGUUUUCCUCUGGGCCCACUCCUCCCAGCACCUCAUCCACCAGUCCUGUGUCCAGUAUUCCCACCAGCAGAUCGCUCGUUCUGAAUCCCUUGGCAUCUCCUGUCCAACUGCCUUCUUCCACUCCAGCUCCUUCCAGUGUUCCUUCCCAGCUUCCUGCUCAGCAAGCCAAGGACUUCAGCCCGGAGGAGACUCCCCAAGGCACAGGGCCGGCUGAGCAGUGCCCUGUGCCAGCAGCCCAGUCGGGACCUGUUGUUUCCCCUCUGCUUACAAGCAGCCCGGGAUCUGGGAACAGACGCAGUCCUGUUUCAUCCAGCAAGGGAAAGGGAAAGGUAGACAAGAUUGGCCAGCUCUUGCUGACUAAAGCGUGCAAGAAGGUCACUGGCUCCCUGGAGAAAGGGGAAGAGCAGUACGCUUUGGAUGGAGAAACAGAAGGUCAGGGACUAGAAACGUCGGUCCCAAACAGUUUGGGAACAGAGCAACCACCAGCAGAACUCGAUAACAAAAGCGGGACGCCUCCAGCACCCAGUCUUACAAAACAGAGCACGUCUGGGCCCGGUAGCUCGAGCCUCAGCCCCGCGGCGGCCGCUCCCUCCUGCGCGUCCCCGAGCGCGGCCCCGGCCGCAGCCGCCCCGGCCGGAGCGCCCCCGGCAGCCCCGGAGCCCUCGGGCCCCGGCGCCAGCGGCACCAACCCAGGCCCGGAGGGGCGCCCGGAGCCGAGCGGCAGCGCCGGGCCCGACGAGAAACCCGCAGCACCCCCGGAGCUGCUGCAGAGCGCAGCAUCCUCUCAACAUUUAACACAGAAAAAAAGUUCAGUUGCAACAUCAGAAAGUACUGUUCAAAGAACAGAACUUGAGACAAAUGCUGCAGUAGUUGCUGGUCAAAGUAAUGAGACAAAAGAGAAUUGUGAAAAGUCUAAAACUCCAAGUAGAAGAAAUUCAAGAACAGAGGAUUCUGCCGCUUCACAGGAAACUGUAGAGAACGGGCAGCGCAAGAGAUCCUCGCGACCCGCAUCCACGUCCAGCACAGCUAAAGGUAACAUGUCCAGCCACCCUUCCUGGGGAGAGGGCAGCUCCUAACCUGCUUCCCUGGGUGUUUGCCCUGGCAGUAACUGCCUCGUAAUGCUGGUUUGCAGCUUGUGCACCUUGGGUGCUUUAUCUCUAGUUUCAAGGAUUUAGCCACAGGUUGGUGUUGAAGCGUUUCUCGACGUCUGCACUGGCAGUAAAUCCUGUAUGAAUUCCUCUUUGGUACAUCUGUGGAACUUGUUUUCUGCAGCACUCACCACUGUAGUGCUCAGCACCUUGCCUAGUUGAAUUCUCUUGGCAGAAAUGUGUUGCUGUUGGAAGGACCAUACUCAGAUCAAAAAGUGACAUUUUCCUUUUCCUGAAGCCCGAAAGACACAAGACUUAAAUCUUCCCAAGUGCACGGUCAGCUCUUGCCAAGUCAAAUGCCAAAUGCCAUGGUUCAGGCACGCUCCAGAGGCUGCUGAGGUGGCAGCCAGGAGCCUCAGGGAGUGCUGUGUGCUAGCACAGAGCCUCAGCUCUGCUUCUCAACAACAUCUGAACUCCUGAAGUUAUUAACCCAUGGCAUUAGCAGGUGCUGAUGUACCUUACUCCUGCCCAGGUUACAGUCUUUAACAAUUAUGCAGCAUUUGUGUGAUAUGCAUGGCCCAGUGCCAGGCUGAAGCUAAUUCUGUCAGCUUCUUGUGUUUAAGGGUCAGAAAAAUGCUGAUGGACCAAAGUUAUGCAAGAGAGUAGAGAGAUCGUCAAGAGGCUACAUUCAACUACUAUUUUAAAGAUAAUAUACAGAACAAAGAGGUAUUAAUAUAAAAUGAUUAUAAAAGGAAGUCAAGUUGAAUUCAGCUACCAUUUCCAUACUGGAGGUACUAAAGUGUGAUGGUAAGAAUAUUGUGUUUUCAGAGUUUCAGAGAAGCAUUCCAGCUUUCAUUCCAUUGUGCAAUGACUCCCAAAGAUUACACAGGGGACCUAUAUAUUCUGCAGUUUUGUGACUGCUGAAUUUAAUUACAUUUACUUCUUGUGGCAGGACUGUGCAGAGUCUGUAUUGUAAAAAUAAAUUCUUUCAUGAUUGUGAAAAAAAGUUUGAAAAAUGUGAAGCCAGUGUAAAAUCCCUGCCUGUGUUUGAGGGGAUCUGGAGCAUGUGACCUGCCCCACAGGCUGUACUGGGUAAACCUAAAGAUGACAACCAGUGACAACCAGUCAAAUUCUGAAAAUGUGGGAACGGGAAAGUGCAUCAAAUUUAAAUAAUACCAAAACUCUUACAUGAGUUUGUGCUGACUGUGGAAUUAAUUUGCCUCUGUAAAUAAACCCCUUGUUUUUAAAUAAUACAGUUGAAGCCGCCGCCGUGU